rnacentral:rRNA from 1 species
UGCCAGCAGCCGCGGUAAUACGAACUGCGCAAACGUUAUUCGGAAUCACUGGGCUUACAGGGUGCGUAGGCGGUCCGGCAGGUCAGAUGUGAAAUCCCACAGCUCAACUGUGGAACUGCAUUUGAAACCUCCAGACUUGAGUAGACUAGAGGCAUACGGAACUUCCGGUGGAGCGGUGAAAUGUGUUGAGAUCGGAAGGAACACCAGAGGCGAAAGCGGUAUGCUGGAGUCUGUCUGACGCUGAGGCACGAAAGCCAGGGGAGCGAACGGGAUUAGAUA